rnacentral:rRNA from 1 species
GAGUUUGAUCCUGGCUCAGAUUGAACGCUGGCGGCAGGCCUAACACAUGCAAGUCGAGCGGUAACAGAUUGAUAGCUUGCUAUCAAUGCUGACGAGCGGCGGACGGGUGAGUAAUGCCUGGGAAUAUACCCUGAUGUGGGGGAUAACUAUUGGAAACGAUAGCUAAUACCGCAUAAUCUCUUCGGAGCAAAGAGGGGGACCUUCGGGCCUCUCGCGUCAGGAUUAGCCCAGGUGGGAUUAGCUAGUUGGUGGGGUAAUGGCUCACCAAGGCGACGAUCCCUAGCUGGUCUGAGAGGAUGAUCAGCCACACUGGAACUGAGACACGGUCCAGACUCCUACGGGAGGCAGCAGUGGGGAAUAUUGCACAAUGGGGGAAACCCUGAUGCAGCCAUGCCGCGUGUAUGAAGAAGGCCUUCGGGUUGUAAAGUACUUUCAGUUGUGAGGAAGACGUUGGAGUUAAUAGCUUUAGCGUUUGACGUUAGCAACAGAAGAAGCACCGGCUAACUCCGUGCCAGCAGCCGCGGUAAUACGGAGGGUGCGAGCGUUAAUCGGAAUUACUGGGCGUAAAGCGCAUGCAGGCGGUCUGUUAAGCAAGAUGUGAAAGCCCGGGGCUCAACCUCGGAACAGCAUUUUGAACUGGCAGACUAGAGUCUUGUAGAGGGGGUAGAAUUUNNNNAGAGGGGGUAGAAUUUCAGGUGUAGCGGUGAAAUGCGUAGAGAUCUGAAGGAAUACCGGUGGCGAAGGCGGCCCCCUGGACAAAGACUGACGCUCAGAUGCGAAAGCGUGGGGAGCAAACAGGAUUAGAUACCCUGGUAGUCCACGCCGUAAACGAUGUCUACUUGAAGGUUGUGGCCUUGAGCCGUGGCUUUCGGAGCUAACGCGUUAAGCAGACCGCCUGGGGAGUACGGUCGCAAGAUUAAAACUCAAAUGAAUUGACGGGGGCCCGCACAAGCGGUGGAGCAUGUGGUUUAAUUCGAUGCAACGCGAAGAACCUUACCUACUCUUGACAUCCAGAGAAUUCGCUAGAGAUAGCUUAGUGCCUUCGGGAACUCUGAGACAGGUGCUGCAUGGCUGUCGUCAGCUCGUGUUGUGAAAUGUUGGGUUAAGUCCCGCAACGAGCGCAACCCUUAUCCUUGUUUGCCAGCACGUAAUGGUGGGAACUCCAGGGAGACUGCCGGUGAUAAACCGGAGGAAGGUGGGAACGACGUCAAGUCAUCAUGGCCCUUACGAGUAGGGCUACACACGUGCUACAAUGGCGUAUACAGAGGGCUGCAAGCUAGCGAUAGUGAGCGAAUCCCACAAAGUACGUCGUAGUCCGGAUUGGAGUCUGCAACUCGACUCCAUGAAGUCGGAAUCGCUAGUAAUCGUGAAUCAGAAUGUCACGGUGAAUACGUUCCCGGGCCUUGUACACACCGCCCGUCACACCAUGGGAGUGGGCUGCACCAGAAGUAGAUAGCUUAACCUUCGGGAGGGCGUUUACCACGGUGUGGUUCAUGACUGGGGUGAAGUCGUAACAAGGUAGCCCUAGGGGAACCUGGGGCUGGAUCACCUCCUUUCU